rnacentral:rRNA from 1 species
UACAGAGGGUGCGAGCGUUGUUCGGAAUUAUUGGGCGUAAAGCGCUGGUAGGUGGCUUGUUAAGUCGUGUGUGAAAGCUCCAGGCUCAACCUGGAAAGUGCGCGCGAAACUGGCGAGCUUGAGUGUCGGAGAGGAUCGCGGAAUUCCGGGUGUAGAGGUGAAAUUCGUAGAUAUCCGGAGGAACACCGGAGGCGAAGGCGGCGAUCUGGAAGACCACUGACACUGAGCAGCGAAAGCGUGGGGAGCAAACAGG